rnacentral:rRNA from 1 species
UACGUAGGUGGCAAGCGUUGUCCGGAAUUAUUGGGCGUAAAGCGCGCGCAGGCGGUUCCUUAAGUCUGAUGUGAAAGCCCCCGGCUCAACCAGGGAGGGUCAUUGGAAACUGGGGAACUUGAGUGCAGAAGAGAAGAGCGGAAUUCCACGUGUAGCGGUGAAAUGCGUAGAGAUGUGGAGGAACACCAGUGGCGAAGGCGGCUCUUUGGUCUGUAACUGACGCUGAGGCGCGAAAGCGUGGGGAGCGAACAGG